rnacentral:rRNA from 1 species
AGGUAAAACUCCAUGGAGGGCCGAACCGACCUCCGUUGAAAAGGCGGCGGAUGAGGUGUGGCUAGCGGAGAAAUUCCAAUCGAACUCGGAUAUAGCUGGUUCUCUCCGAAAUAGCUUUAGGGCUAGCGUUGCAACAGAUUACCGGAGGUAAAGCACUGAAUAGGCUAGGGGGCGAGAGCUUACUGAACCUUAUCAAACUAAGAAUGCCGGAUAAUUGAUUUGCAGCAGUCAGACAGUGUGAGAUAAGUUUCAUUGUCAAAAGGGAAACAGCCCAGACCCACAGCUAAGGUCCCAAAGUACAUUUGAGUGGAAAAGGAUGUGGGGUUGCAUAGACAACCGGGAUGUUGGCUUAGAAGCAGCCAUACAUUAAAAGAGUGCGUAAUAGCUCACCGGUCGAGUGACCCUGCGCCGAAAAUUCAACGGGGCUAAAAUGUACACCGAAGCUUGGGAUUGCAGUUACUGAACAAAGCAGAUUGAUGAAAAGGUUGAAUCUGGCCGAAGGCAAAAUUCAACUAAAAAGCUAAAAGUCAGUAAGCUUUGUUCAGUAACUGCAGUGGUAGGAGAGCGUCGAAUACGGGGUGAAGUCAGAGCGGAAGCGCUGGUGGACUGUAUUCGAGUGAGAAUGCCGGAAUGAGUAGCGAGAAUUAUGUGAGAAUCAUAAUGGCCGAAAGUCUAAGGUUUUGGAAGGAAGGUUCGUCCGCUUCCAGUAAGCCGGGAGCUAAGGUGAGGCCGAAAGGCGUAGCCGAUGCACAUACGGUUGAAAUUCCGUAGCCUCCGAAGUAUUUAAACAGAAGGACACUUGAGAAGUGAUGAUGCCGGGCGAUGGUUGACCCGGUCGUAAGGGACCGAAAUUUAGUAGGGAAGUCAUCAUGGAUUGAGGCGAGAAAAGUUCUGUGAAUAUACAAGGAGCCCGUACCGCAAACCGACACAGGUAGAUAGGAAGAAAAUUCUAAGGCCAACGGGAGAAGGGUUGUUAAGGAACUCGGCAAGUUGACCCCGUAACUUCGGAAUAAGGGGUGCUCUCGAGAGAGAGCCGCAGAGAAUAGGCCCAGGCGACUGUUUAGCAAAAACACAGCUCUAUGCUAAAUCGAAAGAUGAUGUAUAUGGGGUGACACCUGCCCGGUGCCGGAAGGUUAAGAGGAGGCGUGAGAGCGCUGAAUUGAAGCCCCGGUAAACGGCGGCCGUAACUAUAACGGUCCUAAGGUAGCGAAAUUCCUUGUCAGGUAAGUUCUGACCCGCACGAAUGGUG